GAUGAACGCUGGCGGCGUGCCUAAUACAUGCAAGUCGAGCGAACAGACGAGGAGCUUGCUCCUCUGACGUUAUCGGCGGACGGGUGAGUAACACGUGGAUAACCUACCUAUAAGACUGGGAUAACUUCGGGACACCGGAGCCAAUACCGGAUAAUAUAUUGAACCGCAUGGUUCAAUAGUGAAUGACGGUUUUGCUGUCACUUAUAGAUGGAUCCGCGCCGCAUUAGCUAGUUGGUAAGGUAACGGCUUACCAAGGCAACGAUGCGUAGCCGACCUGAGAGGGUGAUCGGCCACACUGGAACUGAGACACGGUCCAGACUCCUACGGGAGGCAGCAGUAGGGAAGCUUCCGCAAUGGGCGAAAGCCUGACGGAGCAACGCCGCGUGAGUGAUGAAGGUCCUCGGAUCGUAAAACUCUGUUAUUAGGGAAGAACAAAUGUGUAAGUAACUAUGCACGUCUUGACGGUACCUAAUCAGAAAGCCACGGCUAACUACGUG
rnacentral:rRNA from 1 species